AGUAGUAGAGAUUUUUGUGUUUGACUAACCAACUUUUGCAUGCUUUUGUGUGUAUUUUCUUACAACAGAUCUAUAUAAUCUAUAAAGUUCAUACACAUUAUUUUUAUUAAAUGUUUGCAAGCUUGACAUGCAAGGUGUCCACAUCAUCAUCCACCUCACUGCAUCCACAUCUCCACUAAAGUGCAUUUAGUGUUUGCAAACUACACAUGCAAGGUAUCUACAUCACCAUACACAACAUGCAAUCCGAUAAUCAAUUCAUUUGGUGGCACCUUAUACAAUUCAAUUUUUUAUCACCUAUAAGACUUUUCAUCCACAUCAUGCACGCCAUGCAACCCGACAAUUAAUUCAUUCUGGUGGCAUCUUAUACAAUUCAAUUUUUUAUCGCCUAAUAUUUUUCACCUAAAAAUUUCACAAGUACUAUGGUUGUACAAUAUUCAUAUUUCUUUUGCAUUUGAUCAUUUUAUUAUCAUCAUAUUUUUUUUGAAUUUGAUCAUUUUAUUAUUAUGUGUUCGUAACAUCAAUUUUGGCUACAAAUAUGCACAUCAUUCAACAUCAAUUCUACAAAUACGCAAAUAGAAUUUUUCGCGACAACGCCCAGGGAAUCACCUAGUUAUAAAAUAAUUUCAGUACAGCACAGUUCAGCAAUGCCAAACUGAGCCUUAGAAGGAAGAAAACGUAUCGCUAAAAAAAGAAUAAAAAAGUCCCCUAAAAAACGUUCCCCUAAAAAAACCGCUGGUGCGCAGCCACACAGCCACGGCGGUCGCACUAAAAAAUUCAAGAGAAGUCUGGUCCGAUUGCAGCAAUAUAUUUUGUAAUAACACGACAACAAAAUUGCAAUAAGGUUUGUAAUAGGAACAUAUAGUAUGUGGCAUGGCACCAAAAGUAAAAGGAACUAGGUGAUUCCCCGCACUUUGCCGCUAAAAUCCUAUUUGCAUGUUUGCAUUUAAUGUUACGAACACGUAAUAAUAAAAUGAUCAAAUGCAAAAGAAAUAUGAAUAUUAUAGAAACCAACGAAUUUAUAAAUUAUAUAGAAAAAUAUGGGUAUUUAGUGAAAAAAUUUGGUGAAAAGUUUUAGGUACUAAAAGGUUGAACCUAGAAGAUGCCACCAAAAUGGGUUGCUCGUGAAGUUCAUGCUGUGGAUGGUGAGGUGGAUGAUAAUGUGAACACUUUGCAUCUGUAGUUUACAAACAUUAAAUGCACCUUACUAAGGAUGAGGAUGGUGAGGUGAAUGAUGAUGUUGACACCUUGCAUGUUGAGCUUCCAAACAUUAAAUGCAUUUUAGUGGGAUCAACUUUAUAGAUUCUAUAGAUUAUAUGCAACAGCACGAGGAAGCAUUUAGCCAAAAUUACUCCACAAUUCCAACUUCUUUUUGUGCAACUGCAAAACACAAAAUUAUGCAAAUGCUUCAUCAGAUCACAACAAUAUCAAUGAUAUAGUAUUGAAAUAAAAGC
rnacentral:lncRNA from 1 species